rnacentral:rRNA from 1 species
CUACGGGAGGCAGCAGUGGGGAAUUUUGGACAAUGGGUGAAAGCCUGAUCCAGCCAUGCCGCGUGCAGGAAGACGGCCUUCUGGGUUGUAAACUGCUUUUAUCUGGGGAUAAAAAGCCCAUGCGUGGGAAACUGAAGGUACCAGAUGAAUAAGCCACGGCUAACUACGUGCCAGCAGCCGCGGUAAUACGUAGGUGGCAAGCGUUGUCCGGAUUCAUUGGGUUUAAAGGGUGCGUAGGCGGCUGUUUAAGUCAGUGCUGAAAUACCCCGGCUUAACCGGGGGGGUGGCAUUGAUACUGGACAGCUUGAGUGCUAGCGAGGCAGGCGGAAUUGACGGUGUAGCGGUGAAAUGCAUAGAUAUCGUCAAGAACACCGAUAGUGAAGACAGCUUGCCAGGGAGCAACUGACGCUGAGGCACGAAAGUGUGGGGAUCAAACAGGAUUAGAAACCCGUGUAGUCC